rnacentral:rRNA from 1 species
AUUGAACGCUGGCGGCAUGCUUUACACAUGCAAGUCGAACGGCAGCACGGACUUCGGUCUGGUGGCGAGUGGCGAACGGGUGAGUAAUACAUCGGAACGUGCCCAGUUGUGGGGGAUAACUACUCGAUAGAGUAGCUAAUACCGCAGGAGAACUGAGGUUGAAAGAAGGGGAUAGUAAGACCUUGCGCAACUGGCGCGGCCGUUGGCAGAUUAGGUAGUUGGUGGGAUAAAAGCGUACCCAGCCGACGAUCUGUAGCCGGUCUGAUAUGACGACCAGCCACACUGGGACUGAGACACGGCCCAGACUCCUACGGGAGGCAGCAGUGGGGAAUUUUGGACAAUGGGCGAAGGCCUGAUCCAGCAAUGCCGCGUGCAGGAUGAAGGCCUUCGGGUUGUAAACUGCUUUUGUACGGAACGAAAAGCUUCGGGCUAAUACCCUGGAGUCAUGACGGUACCGUAAGAAUAAGCACCGGCUAACUACGUGCCAGCCGCCGCCGUAACAC